GAAGGAAAUUUAAUGCAACUGUAUUAGCUUUCAAUGUAUUUUCGUGACCCAUACACAAUAUUCCCGCUGGAUCCUGUAUCACGUUAAAAUCGUUAACAGCAUCAGGCAACGAUUUGUAUUAGGAAUUUUGAUCGUCAUGUCAAUUGGAAUUCAUACAUUGCACGGUCAACAUAUAUGAAUAUUAGCAGGGUUACCUUUUCUCUCGUGUCGUGCAUUUUGGAAUGGCUAUCAAAAUUGUUCGUUACUGGACUUGGAGGUAAUGUACUCACAGUUACGGACUUACGGUGUCAUUAAAUGGUCAUAUUUAAUUUAUUUUUUUAAUUUUUUGACUAUUUAGAUCAUAGAAUAUGGUACCUUGAGGUACCAUAGUCGGACCCUAUUUAAUUGUUGUUAUUAUUAUUAUUAUUAUUACACUACAAAAUACCAAAUCAGGGGUGCAAGCCUGGUUGUUAUUAUUAAAAUCAAGAUUUCUAGGCAUGCCUACGUUGGAAAAGUUUCAUUUCUGCGUUAGUCAUGUUUUUUUUGUCUUAACAUAUCCAACGACAAAUCCACCAGUUACAAACUAAAGGGGGCGAAAAAGAGAAAUCUUCUAGAUUUGGUCCAAGCGUUACAGGUCGUUCGGCGUACAAUUCUCCAUCGUGAGUAGGUUGGUAGGCGUAUGCAAUGUACAGCGAUGAAACCGAACAACAGUGGAGAUGGACGUUGACCUUGACCUUGACUAGCCAAGGCCCACCAACUCCUUGAUACCCAUUACGUACAGUAAGUUAGUGGGCUACAAUGUAAUGGUAUAUGUUUUGUUAGGUAUUUAGGCCCAGUAACCCCACCACCUUCAUUUCUUCUAGUGGUUGACUCCUUGACCUGGGUGCUCGUUGACUAGUAAAUUCAUCUAAACUUGACAUUGACGCCAUAAAUAUACAGUUUCGUCCUCAUAAUUUACUGUAGUACAUGGCAACCACCGAGCUGCUCCCUAAAGUUCGAGUCCCAGCAUAGUACUGAGACUUUAUUCCCCUCCUAUAAUUAAAUAAGGAUAAAUGUCUCUCUCAUAAGUAUGGGUAGAAUAAUUAUAUUUCUCAAAUAUUAGUGGUGAUAAAUAUAUUUUAAUGUAAAAAUAAAAACUUAAGUUGUACUCAUAAUAAAAUUGAUCUAGGUUUGACUCUAACAAAUUUUUAAUUAUAAAUGUCAAUAGACAUCUUACUGUAAAAAAAUAUCUACCUCUCGGAUUUCUUAAUGCAGCUCCUUCAAUCUAAUUUCUUACCCUGAAUGAUAUGAAUCAACUAUACUCUACAUGAAACGAAAAGAGGUAAAUUUUUUUUUCUUAAUAUAAAACAAAAUUAAAAGUUAAAAAUACGAAGGAAAAAAUGAAAAUGAAAAUGAAAAAAAGAAAAAAAGGAAGAAGAUUUGGUUCUUUAGGGUUAUGAUUGUAUUGUUUGUCGAAAUGUGCGUGGCCCACGAUGAGUCAUCGAUGCCAUGGGCAAUGCUUGUGAUUGAAGAUUAAUUAAUUAUAGUAACAUAAAGUAAGAAUUGUAGUUAUUAUGCUUUGCUUUUAGGGAUUCAGUACAAAGCAAGUCACCGAUUGGAGCCCAAUACUUGUAUCUUUAGAAGAGGACAUGCAUGGCUUUUGCUUUUUUAGUUUUGCCAUCUCCGCGGCCUUUCUCUUGCCUUCCUUCGUUUUUUUUUUUUUUUUUUUUCAAAUUUGGAUUUACCAAAAAGAACAACCAAUUAUGUACUCAUAUCCCAUUUGAAAGUGGCUCAAGAUUGCAUUCGCAGGCCCCGCCUUUGGCUUGUAAAUCAUAGUUGUUUAUGGGAAGAAUGUCACUUUACUAAUUCAAUUAUGUUACAAGUCCUACUCGAAUCGUUGGAUAUGAAAUCUAAUGGUUGGAGAGAGGGAAUGAGUUGAUGACAUUACAUGCAACUUUUUUUAGUUGAACUGGACAAGAUUAAUAAAUGAAGAUUCCUUUCAAAACUUUAAGUAGAAGAUUUAAAGUUUUUAAAAGUAAUAUCAUAUUAAAUCUCUAGGAUUGAAUCAAAAAGUUUGAAGUUCGAAUCUCACUAUAUGAUUAAGAAAGUAAUUUAAUAGUUAUUUGUGUUACAUUUAAAUUAAAAAAAAAUCUUAUCAUCCAUGUAUCGAACUGUUAACUUUUACCACCACUAAAAAAAAAAAAAAACUACUAUAACCCACAAAAUAUCACCACCCAUAACAGAAAUAGUGUUCCCCUAAGAUGACGUCAAUUAAUUUUUUCCUCCCCUCUUUUCACUAAUUCUAAUCUCUUUUUUUGUUUCCAAUUUCUGUGCGAACAUCAUCUUCCCACUUUGAGAAUCCAUGAAUUGCUUUGCUAAAUAAACAACUAUAUACCUAAUCAUAUUGACACAACAUUAGCUUAUAAUCCAAGUAAACUACCUCAAAAUCAUUUACAACUCAUAAUUAUUGCUUCGAUUUUCAUCAGCGUAUAGAAACUAAGAUUUUCCUUUUUUCUAUUCAUUUACAACUAAUAAUUAUAGCUUAUUAGAAUAAUGAUGCAAUAUAUCUUAAAACAUAUUUUCAUCUUAAAAUAAAUAAACCUUAACCUAUUGUUUUACAACAAUGAUAUUCUUACAACAAUGAGUACAAAGCUUAGUACAAUAAGGACCUUUUUUGCAUAUUCAAAAUUUUUAUGCGAUUUUCGAAUUUAUGGGUUUUAUUGAUUUUGAUAGAUUGGAGCAUUUUUCCUUCCAUCUCUUCUACAUCUAUUCUUAAAUUUUUUCAAAGUUUCAACUAUAUCUUUGUAAAGUUCUAAAUGAUUAUCUCAUUCAUAGAGAUCUAUAUGUAAAUUAAUUCCUGAAUUUGUAAUCAUUUGUCUCUUUUGAGUCACAGACCAAAUUUUUUCUUCCAAUAUAUCUAUGUAUAUUCCUAAUCUAUCUUCCCAACUUAGGUACAUCCUAUCAAAGCUUUCACAUAUAAAUUGUAAUUUGAGAUCUGCAUCUUGAAUCAAUAUUUCCAUAUUAUUAUUAUUAUCCAUUGUUUUAUGCUCGAUUUUGAGUUCUAUUAUUAGUCUUGCACCUGUCCUGGAUUAUUUCGAGGAUAGAUAAAAUUGAUUCUAUUAAUGCUGUCCAGUUCUCUUCUUCAAAUGAAUCGAAUAUUUCUGGAUCAUUAAUUCCUUUUAUUUAUUCAUACAAGUGUUUGCUUGUAGUUAAUCUAGUUUUAACCAUGGAAAUUGUAUAAGCAACUUGAUAUUCUUGACUAAAGUCUAAAUGAUCAAUUGCAUCUAGAAAUUUAUUAACAGAUCUUUUCAUUUUUGAGAAAUUGAGUUACUCUUAUCACUUCUUAUCUUAUAACAUCUCUGAAAACAAAUAAGGUCGAACAUGCUUCCGUUUGUUACUAAAAUAAAAGAAGAGAUUUCAAGAUUACUAACCAGUGUACUAUCUCUCGGAAUUCUGAGAUAGAUUCACCAAUUGCCUCCAACCAUAGAAAGGUUCAUGGUCAGCACUGCCAUAGCUCCACACAUCACACAAGACCACUUCAGUGACUAUUCCACACGGCCUAACGCAACACACAGUAGACUAGCCUAAUAGGAUAUGCCUAAGUAAUUUCUUUGCAGUUGUCUCUGGAAGAGUGCUUAGUAAUAUAAAAUCUUCUUCAUUUAGCACAAGUAUUGGCAUAUAAGGUUCUUGGUUAAUUUCUAAGAAUAUAAGAUAUAUGGAAGAUGAUAAUUUCACUCAAAAGAGCUUUAUUUAUUUCACAACUGAAAUUAUUUACAAAAGGUGGUUACAGAGAAUACAGAUGAAGGUGAAGGUUAGACAUGUGAUGUCCUUCCCUU
rnacentral:lncRNA from 1 species